GCACUCUCACGCCCAUCACACAGAGCACUCUCACACAGCACACACUGCUGUGUGUGAGAGUGCUGUGUGUGAUGGGUGUGAGAGUGC